UACGUAGGGGCCUAGCGUUGUCCGGAUUUAUUGGGCGUAAAGAGCUCGUAGGCGGUUUGGUAAGUCGGGUGUGAAAUCUCCACGCUCAACGUGGAGGGGCCACCCGAUACUGCCAUGACUGGAGUCCGGUAGGGGAGUGUGGAAUUCCCGGUGUAGCGGUGAAAUGCGCAGAUAUCGGGAGGAACACCGGUGGCGAAGGCGGUGGUCUGGGCCGGCACUGACGCUGAGGAGCGAAAGCGUGGGUAGCAAACAGG
rnacentral:rRNA from 1 species